rnacentral:rRNA from 1 species
AUUGAACGCUGGCGGCAUGCCUUACACAUGCAAGUCGAACGGCAGCAUGGAGAGCUUGCUCUCUGAUGGCGAGUGGCGAACGGGUGAGUAAUGCAUCGGAACGUACCGUGUAAUGGGGGAUAACGUAGCGAAAGUUACGCUAAUACCGCAUACGACCUGAGGGUGAAAGUAGGGGAUCGCAAGACCUUGCGUUAUACGAGCGGCCGAUGUCAGAUUAGCUAGUUGGUGAGGUAAAGGCUCACCAAGGCGACGAUCUGUAGCGGGUCUGAGAGGAUGAUCCGCCACACUGGGACUGAGACACGGCCCAGACUCCUACGGGAGGCAGCAGUGGGGAAUUUUGGACAAUGGGGGCAACCCUGAUCCAGCCAUGCCGCGUGAGUGAAGAAGGCCUUCGGGUUGUAAAGCUCUUUCGGCCGGGAAGAAAUCGCACAGGCUAAUACUCUGUGUGGAUGACGGUACCGGCAUAAGAAGCACCGGCUAACUACGUGCCAGCAGCCGCAGUAA